rnacentral:rRNA from 1 species
CCUACGGGUGGCAGCAGUGAGGAAUAUUGGUCAAUGGGAGAGAUCCUGAACCAGCCAAGCCGCGUGAGGGAAGACGGCCCUAUGGGUUGUAAACCUCUUUUGUCGGAACACAAAACCCGGGACGUGUCCCGGACUGCGUGUAUCCGAAGAAAAAGCAUCGGCUAACUCCGUGCCAGCAGCCGCGGUAAUACGGGGGAUGCGAUCGUUAUCCGGAUUUUUUGGGUUUAAGGGGUGCGUAGGCGGGACGUAAAGUAAACGGGAAAAUGGCGGGGCUCAACCCCGUCGAGCCUUUGAAACUGGCAGACUUGAGUUGGCGAGAAGUACGCGGAAUGAGCGGUGUAGCGGUGAAAUGCAUAGAUAUCGCGCAGAACUCCGAUUGCGAAGGCAGCGUACCGGCGCCAGACUGACGCUGAGGCACGAAAGCGUGGGGAUCGAACAGGAUUAGAUACCCCAGUAGUC